UGCAGACUGGGACCCGAGGACGUCACCCCGGAGCAGAGUGAUUCCUAUUGGUUGAUUCAGACAGGGUUCCAUUGUGGACGUCACAAUGCGGAAGUUGGACAAUGAGCUUCAGACUGAAACUUCCUCCUCUGGGCAACAUCUGACAGCCUGUGGGAAACUGAUCCCAGGAGUCUCCAGGGUGAGUUUGAGUGAUUCGAGUGGAAUGGCAAGUUAGUGAUCGGCCAGCAGAAGGAUGAUGAUGCUGUGACUGAGCAAGAUAAGUUCAGGAUAUUAGAAGGGGAGGAUUUGCGGACAGAAAUCUCAAAACAAGCAUCACAUGAAGAUCUGACAGUCAAUUCAUCAGGAUCUGAAUAUGAUCAGCCUUUGAAUCUAGAAGGACAAAUCUUUGUCUGUUCUGUCUGUUUCAAAAGGUUUUAAACAUCAGUGUAACUGGAGAAGUUCCGAGACACAGACAUCCCGAGUGAGAGUGUUCCAGUGCACUGACUGUGGAAAGAGCUUUAACCAGUUUCUCAGCUUGAGAAAAACAUCGCACCAUCCACAGUGGGGAGAGACUAUACAUGUGUUCUGUGUGAGAACGAAGCUUCAACUAAUCAUAGAACCUGGAGAGACACAAGGACACGUGCAUCAUGGAGAAACCGUGGAGAUGUGGGGACUGUGGGAAGGGAUUCAACACCUUUGGAAACUCAUUGGUGCAGUCACACUGGGGAGAGGCCAUUCACCUGCUCUGAGUGUGGGAAGGGAUUCAGCCAGUCAUCUCAACUGCAGACACACCAGCGAGUUCACACUGGGGAGACACAGUUCACCUGCCCUGAGUGUGGGAAGGGAUUAAGUCAGUUAUCCAGUUUGCAAUCACACCAGCGAGUUCACAGUGGGGAGAGACCGUUCACAUGUUCUGAAUGUGGAAAGAGAUUCAGGAAUUCAUCCCACCUGCAGAGACACCAGCGAGUUCACACUGGGGAGAGGCCAUUCACCUACUCAGAGUGUGGGAAGGGAUUCAGUGAUUCAUCCCCCCUGCUGAUGCACAAGCGAGUGCACAGUGGGGAGAGACCAUUCACCUGCUCUGAGUGUGGGAAGGGAUUUACUCAGUCAUUCUACCUGCUGACACACCAGCGAGUUCACACCAGGGACUGGCUCAUCUGUUUUGUAUGUGGGAAGAGAUUCACUCGGUCAUGCGACCUGCUGGCACACCAGCGAGUUCACACUGGGGAGAGGCCGUUCACCUGUUAUGUGUGUGGGAAGGGAUGCCCUCGGUCAUCUGACCUGCAGAAACACCAGCGAAUUCACCGGGGAGAUGCCGUUCACCUGCUCUGAGUGUGGGGAGGGAUUCACUCGGUCAUCCCAUCUGCUGGUAAACCAAUGAGUUCACACUGGGGAGAAACCAUUCACCUGCUCUGAGUGUGGGAAGGGAUUCAGUGAUCCAUCCACCCUGCUGAGACACCAGAAAGCUCACACGAGGGAGAUGCCGUUCACAAGCUCUGAAUGUGGGAAGAGAUUCACUUGUUCAUCUGAGCUGCUGACACACCAUUACAGUCACACUGAUUAGAGACCGUUUAGGUGCUCUGACUGUGGCUGUCAAUUGAGGUUAAGUAUACACAGGUGGACAUCAUGGAUUGGAUAGCUACUUGAGCACAUCUCAAGAGACCCUUACUGACAUAGAGUGAAGUCGAGUCAGGAGGUAUAUACCCGUAAUGUUUCACUCAGUGAAUAAAUCUAUACCAAGUAAAGAUUGGCUCCGGUUUCUUCCUUCACCAUCUUGCUGUUAGGAUUAUAACAUGGUAAUGGAGAAUGCAUGUCUAAUGGUGAAGGUUGGAAACUAAAAGAAAAUUAAAUUUCAGACAGAAACUUACAACCUGAGUAGCUAUUGUAAGAAAUGCCUGAAAGCAAGUGGAAAUUGUCAGGGUUUGAUUACCCGCCGACGUUCUCGGAGUCUGAGCCACACGACCAUUGGAAGAAUGAAGUGGAUAUGUGAACACGAGUUACAUCUCUACCAAGGAGGAAACAAAGUCUGGUCUUGCCAUUGUUAAUUCCCAACAAAAGUAAAGUCAGAAGCAAAGUAUUUAGUGAGCUGGAUGCUGGUCAGUUGGAAAUUGAUGAAGGUUUGGAUCUUCUAUUCGGAUUCAUUGAUGAGAUUUACAAGAAAAAUGAUCUAUUGGAUGCCUAUGAAGCAUAGUUGGACUUUGACAGGUUUCAAAUGAGGGUGAAAGCAUCUUUAGCAGAUCUAGAAAUCACAACAAAAGGCAGGAUUGGAACAGCACUGAUAGGUGAAUGAACCCCAGGAAUGACCAAGGAGCAAUUAACAGGUGUUUCCGGUCUGACUCAAAAUAUCAUUUUGUGAUGAAUUGCCCAAAGUGGAAAAUCAGGGUCUUCGAAGUGACACAUGAUACAGAGAAUUCUGAGGCUGAAGAUGAUGAUGAUGAUGACUCUGAAGGAAUUGCACUAGUCACAAGGAGCUUUGUCCCAGUGAUGAGUAUGUUACUCACAGACUCAUUCAACUGUGCUGUGCUAGACAGUGGCUGCACCUCGUCAGCAUGUGGAUUAGAUUGGUGAAAAUGUUACCCAGAUUCACCUCAUACUGAGGACUGACACAAGGUUAUGAAAGUUCUACUUGUCUUGGUUUAGUGAUGUCAACACAUUGAAGUCACUAAAAAGAGUGGGGAUUCCCUACAAACUAACUGUUCUUCAUCAGGGUUAACUGUUAAACUUCACCUCGAUGACACAUUUGUGUAAUUAAUAAGGCUUAUAUUACCAAAUUAUACUGUAUGUAAGCUUAACAAUUGCCUGUCUGUUUAAGUUCGAUACUGUAAUGCAGCUUUCAGGAAAAAAACCUGGUGUUAAGGUCAGGAAGGGGUGAGAGCACCAGGUGUUCCAGGACACCCUGUUUAGAUACAAGUUAUAGUUCACAGUUAGAAGCUGAUUGGCUCAACUUGUCGUUGGGAAAUGGGGAACACUUUUCCCAUUGGUCAAGAGUCGCAAAUAUUUGUUUAAGAAGUUGUUAGUUUUGUUGAACAGCUGCACCAACAUGGGUUAAAUGUUACAAAGUUACCUUCAAAAAGAUCCAUUUGGUAACUCGAGCCCAUGCUGACUCUCUGCAGAGCAAUCUAGUCAGUCCCAUUCCCCCUCUAUUUCCCCGUAUCCCUGCAAGUUUAUUGCCUUCAAGUGACCAUCCAAUUUUCUUUUGAAAUCGUUCAUCAUCUCUGAUUGCACCACCUCAUAGGCAGUGAGUUCCAGGUCAUUCUCACUCGCUGUGUAAAAAAACUUCUUCCUCACAUCCCCUCCACAUCUCUACCUUAAAACCUUCAACCUGUGUCCCCUCGUCCUUGGCGGGAACAGCUUUUCUUUGCCCAACUGAUGUAAACCUGUCAUAAUCUUGUACACCUCUAUCAAAUUUCCCCUCAACCUCCUUUGCUCCCAGGGGAACAGUCUCAGCCAGAACAAAGAAACAAGAUAUGUUCAUGUCUGGAAUAAAAUGGGAAUGUUUACAAUUCCACUGGGCAGUGAAGGAAUUGGAAUAACUCACCUUGGGUGUAGAGUUGAGUGGAAUAGAUCAAUCUGAUAUCCAUGUAGAUUCUAGUGAAAUUCAGGGAAGCAUAGACAAGAUGAAUAAGUCGAUAGCUUUCUCUUGGAAAUGUUUAAAUCAUUUGCCUCUGAACCCUUUUUUUAAAGGAAACCACAGUUGAAAUCCUGGCCACUACCUGAAAUGUUGGGACUGCACAGAGUGAGAUCAGCAAAGCUCAUGUGGCAGACCCAGACACCCCCGGUCCCCCCCAACCCCCACCACCCCCAUGAACUUUAGAUAAGAUAACAUGAAAGUCAAAAAAUGUCUGUCAUGCUACUGGGAUACCAGUGUAAAUGCAGAUGUUGUUAGUUAGAUGUUAAGCAACUAAUAGGAGGAUAUUCAUGGUGAAAUACAUGGAAGUGUCCCAAACAUACACAGCGACUUGACAAACAGUAUGACAUGAAAUGUUUAAUGUGGCCAGAGGAAUGAGACCACAUUUUGAUGUGAUCAGGGCACUGACACACGCUCCAGAGAGAAACUGGCUUUAAAACAGUCAGGAUAGAAUUAAAGACACCAGUCAUGGUUGAAAAGUGAAUAAAACUAAACUGAAAGGGAUUAAAAAAUAUGGAUCGGGACAAUGAAGGGCUUGGCAGAAAUAAUAGAGUGACAACUCUCCACAAGUUGGACAGGGGUAAGAAGAGAACUGGAGAAUCUUUUACGUCCAGGCUUGAAGCAUAUGUCCUUAUGUACCGGUAACCUGGAACUCACGGCGCUCCUUCUGGAUGCAGACAAGAUUGAGUAGAUGUUGCUUCAGGCGGGGCCAGAACAGAACUGGAAAAUAACAGAAGGAAAUUGAGUGAGGAGUCGGAGAGAGAGUUCUCCUCCCCUUCAAGGUGUGGACUGUAAGAAUCCUGGGGGACGCCCGACUUCGGGUUUUCUUGCUAAUUAGUGAACACUAACUUAAAAACUAUGACUGGCUGUGCAUUGAUUUUUAAUUUGAUUGUUACACUUCUCCUGUUUUUAUUCCUGUUGUGAUUAUUCUCUGGAUGAGGAUGAUUGACAGGUGACCGGAGGGGAAAUUGUGGUUUGGAAUGCUGACUCCCUGUACCGGGGACGGAGUGUGGGAAGCCAAUUGUUUGAGAGUUUGAUGUGCCUUGGGCAGGUACAGAUGGUUCAACGACAGGUUUUGUAAUUGGUCCAUUCAAAUGUUAGCUCAGCAAUGAUUGGGUUAAAUCAGUCUCCAUAGGCUUUGUACUGUAAAAAAGUAUCAGAAGGGAUUCCCCGAGCACAGAGAUUUGUAGAGGUUUUACAUAUUGCAUUGACUGGUGCCAUGGCAUCUGGGGCAGACCAGGGAGCAUUUACGUGGAGAUGGUGCUUCUACCCAGAGUGUAAUGGUAAUGCUGCUGCACUUUGAUACUACUGCUCAGACAUGAGCAUGUGUCAGGUCUUAUUUAUACUGAAUAAAAUCUAACCACUGUCACCAA